rnacentral:rRNA from 1 species
GGAAUUUUUGACAAUGGGGGAAACCCUGAUCAAGCAACGCCGCGUGGAUGAUGAAGUAUCUCGGUACGUAAAAUCCUUUCGACAGGGAAGAAACCUUCGGGUUGACGGUACCUGUAGAAGAAGCCCCGGCUCACUCCGUGCCAGCAGCCGCGGUAAUCCGGGGGGGGCGGGCGUUGUUCGGAUUUACUGGGCGUAAAGGGCGCGUAGGCGGUUUGUUAAGUCUGAUGUGAAAACUCUCGGCUCAACCGAGAGCCUGCAUCCGAUACUGGCAGACUAGAGUGCGAGAGGGGAAAGCGGAAUUCCUGGUGUAGCGGUGAAAUGCGUAGAUAUCAGGAGGAACACCGGCGGCGAAGGCGGCUUUCUGGAUCGCAACUGACGCUGAGGCGCGAAAGCUAGGGGAGCA